UGGUUGGCUGGUAAAAAGGAAUGUUGUAAUAGGAACCACAAAUGUGUUUUUGAAUGGGUGAUUACCAAAAGAAUAGCUUAAACUUGGGUGCAUUUUAGGGAACCCUUAUUGGCAGGUGGAAGAAGUGAUCUGGGUUAACAUAUAAACAUCUUUAUGGCUUUUAGAAAUCAUUUUGGGGGAGUAAAGUCUCAGUAGCAAUAGAUAGAUAUAUUAAAUCUUUUGUUCACCAUUCUGAAAAUGUAUUUUUAAAAAUAUCUUUAUCUUCUGUUUUAGAAUCAGUACUAAGCAUUGCUUCCAUGGCAGAAGAAUGAUAAGGACCAGGCAACUGGGGCUGAUCAAAGGCUGGACUGGAUUUAAAGGAAUAAUACUACUCAGUUCCCUCCCUCAUUUCUGCUGUCAGUCGCCAGAUUCUGAUGCUGUUCCCUGCCACCUCUUUGGCAUGAGAGAGAAGUCUGAUGUGGAGGUCCUUGCAAUGAGGGAAGAAUGCGCUUCAAUCAUCUCCCAUCCGAAUGGAGUCCAUCUAUGUGAAUAGGGGAGAGUGUGGAAGAGAGAAUUUGCAAUGCAUGCAAAGGACAUCAUCUGUCAAUCAAAAGGAACAUUCUAUUGGAAUGUUCCCAGGAGAAGCAGUUGGAGUCAAGCCAGCAGCUGAAGUGGGCUGGACUUACUUCUGACCUAGGCUGAGAGGUUUUUGGCUUCUGGAACUGGGGAGAGGCUUGUGAACUAAGUUUGGCUGCUUGUGGCUGAUGGUGAAGACCCUGAAGCUUUUGCUGACUGACUGAGGUUACCUGGCUGGCUAGAAGAAAAGAAGACAUACAGUUAUCCUAAUCUCUCUGACUGUCCCUGCUAGUGACUGAUUGCCAUUUUCCCAAUAUCCUCCUAAACCUCCUUAUAGAGAAGAGGGAAACCUAUCCCUCUUACCUUAUCUUCUACCCUUCUCCUGUCUUCCCCAAAUAAACCCCUUACUUGAGAAAUCA
rnacentral:lncRNA from 1 species